CCUACCUGGGAUCCGCCCCUGGGCAGGGCCAGCUCCUGCACACCUGGAGCCUAUUGCAGGCAAUCAAGCCAGAGGGAUUUAAGCCACACAUUGAUGUUCAUUCACUGCCAGUUCGUCAUCAACACAUUUGCUGUUUUCACCUUGGCUCAUGCUCCACCUCCAGACUCAGGAUACCAAACAAUCAUUUUGAAAAUCCCUCUGUGCCUCACCUGCCUGCCCUCCUGCCAUCACACUCCAUCUGAAGCCCCGGAUCUCAGGUCAGCCUUUCUACGCCACUCAGCCCUCCCUGGAUUCUCUUACCCCCCUCUCAACACUCCAUGUCCCCUACUGCAAUGUGACUGUUCCCUGCUCAGCUCCACUCUGCAUCCCGUUCCCUCGCCCUAGCCACGUUUCCCAGGCCGCGCCUCGUCAAACACCACGUCUUAUUGUUUUUUUGUCUUUGCUACAUUUUUUGCACU